rnacentral:rRNA from 1 species
UACGUAGGGAGCGAGCGUUGUCCGGAAUCAUUGGGCGUAAAGCGCGCGUAGGCGGCCUCAUAAGUCCGUUGUGAAAGUCAAAGGCUCAACCUUUGAAAGCCGAUGGAUACUGUGAGGCUAGAGUCCGGAAGAGGCGAGUGGAAUUCCUGGUGUAGCGGUGGAAUGCGCAGAUAUCAGGAGGAACACCAAUAGCGAAGGCAGCUCGCUGGGACGGUACUGACGCUAAGGCGCGAAAGCGUGGGGAGCGAACAGG